rnacentral:rRNA from 1 species
GGAGUUAGCCGGUGCUUCUUCUGUGAGUGAUGUCCUUCCUGCCGGUUAUUGACCCGCAGGCCUUCUUCCUCACUGAAAGUGCUUUACAACCCGAAGGCCUUCUUCACACACGCGGCAUGGCUGGAUCAGGGUUGCCCCCAUUGUCCAAUAUUCCCCACUGCUGCCUCCCGUAGGAGUCUGGGCCGUGUCUCAGUCCCAGUGUGGCUGAUCAUCCUCUCAGACCAGCUACGGAUCGUCGCCUUGGUGAGCCGUUACCUCACCAACCAGCUAAUCCGACAUAGGCUCAUCCGAUAGCGCGAGGCCCGAAGGUCCCCCGCUUUCCCCCGUAGGGCGUAUGCGGUAUUAGCCUGGGUUUUCCCCCAGGUUAUCCCCCGACUACCGGGGCAGAUUCCUAUGCAUUACUCACCCGUCCGCCGCUCGCCACCAGGGAGCAAGCUCCCCGUGCUGCCGCUCGACUUGCAUGUGUUAGGCCUGCCGCCAGCGUUCAAUCUGAGCCAGGAUCAAACUCUGA